GAUGGCAUGACUCAACUGUUGAGUGCUUAUUUUGCAAGUAUGUGGCCUUAAGUUUAAAUCCUAAUGCCAUCA
rnacentral:tRNA from 1 species